UGAGGAAUAUUGGUCAAUGGGCGGGAGCCUGAACCAGCCAAGUCGCGUGAAGGAAGAAGGAUCUAUGGUUCGUAAACUUCUUUUGCAGGGGAAUAAAGUGCAGGACGUGUCCUGUUUUGUAUGUACCCUGAGAAUAAGGAUCGGCUAACUCCGUGCCAGCAGCCGCGGUAAUACGGAGGCUCCGAGCGUUAUCCGGAUUUAUUGGGUUCAAAGGGUGCGUAGGUGGUUUGAUAAGUCAGCGGUGAAAGUUUGCAGCUUAACUGUAAAAAUGCCGUUGAAACUGUCGGACUUGAGUGUAAAUGAGGUAGGCGGAAUGCGUGGUGUAGCGGUGAAAUGCAUAGAUAUCACGCAGAACUCCGAUUGCGAAGGCAGCUUACUAAGCUACAACUGACACUGAAGCACGAAAGCGUGGGGAUCAAACA
rnacentral:rRNA from 1 species